ACGGCGUAGUAAGGUGUAGGAACGUGCCCUCUGGACGGGGAUAGCUACGGGAAACUGUAGGUAAUACCCGAUGAUCUCUGCGGAGCAAAGGUGUGAUUCCGCCGGAGGAGCGGCUUACAUGAUAUUAGCUAGUUGGUGGGGUAAUGGCCCACCAAGGCGAUGAUGUCUAGGGGGUGUGAGAGCAUGGCCCCCACGACCGGAACUGAGAUACUGUCCGGACACCUACGGGUGGCUGCAGUCGAGAAUCUUCCGCAAUGGACGAAAGUCUGACGGAGCGAUGCCGCGUGCGGGAUGAAGGCCCUUGGGUUGUAAACCGCUGUCAGAGGGGAUGAAAUCUCCGGAGGUUCUCCUCCGGAGUUGACAGAGCCUCAGAGGAAGCACGGGCUAAGUAUGUGCCAGCAGCCGCGGUAAUACAUACUGUGCGAACGUUAUUCGGAAUCACUGGGCUUAAAGGGUGCGUAGGCGGCGAUUCAAGUCAGAUGUGAAAUGCCUGAGCUCAACUGAGGCAUUGCGUUUGAAACUGGAUUGCUGGAGUGUCCCAGGGGUGUGCGGAACUGCCAGUGGAGCGGUGAAAUGUGUUGA
rnacentral:rRNA from 1 species